ensembl:rRNA 5S_rRNA 5S ribosomal RNA
GCUUAUGGCCACACCGCCUGGUUCACGUCCGAUCUCGUUUGAUCUCGGAAGCUAAAAUAGGUUGGGCCUGGUUAGUACUUGUGUGGGAGACUGCCUGGGAAUACCAGGUGCUGUAAGCU